rfam:Gossypium raimondii Chr02_contig_203, whole genome shotgun sequence.
AGUUAAAAAUUUCAUUUAUUUAUAUUAUUAAAAACUAACGUAGUUGAUGGAAUAACCAGAUAGUAACAUGUGGUGUGCCAUGUGCAUCUCAUGCUGACAUAUAAUGAUUCUUUUUUAACAAUAUAAAUAGAUAGAAUUUUUAACA